UGGAGGGUUUCCGCCAUUCAGUGCUGCAGCUGACGCAUUAAGCACUCCGCCUGGGGAGUACGACCGCAAAGGUUGAAACUCAAAGGAAUUGUCGGGGACCCGCACAAGCGGUGGAUGAUGUGGUUUAAUUCGAUGCAACGCGAAAAACCUUACCCACCUUUGACAUGUACGGAAUCCUUUAGAGAUAGAGGAGUGCUCGAAAGAGAGCCGUAACACAGGUGCUGCAUGGCUGUCGUCAGCUCGCGUCGUGAGAUGUUGGGUUAAGUCCCGCAACGAGCGCAACCCUUGCCAUUAGUUGCUACGAAAGGGCACUCUAAUGGGACUGCCGGUGACAAACCGGAGGAAGGUGGGGAUGACGUCAAGUCCUCAUGGCCCUUAUAGGUGGGGCUACACACGUCAUACAAUGGCUGGUACAAAGGGUUGCCAACCCGCGAGGGGGAGCCAAUCCCAUAAAGCCAGUCGUAGUCCGGAUCGCAGUCUGCAACUCGACUGCGUGAAGUCGGAAUCGCUAGUAAUCGUGGAUCAGAAUGUCACGGUGAAUACGUUCCCGGGUCUUGUACACACCGCCCGUCACACCAUGGGAGUGGGUUGCAAAAGAAGUAGGUAGCUUAACCUUCGGGAGGGCGCUUACCACUUUGUGAUUCAUGACUGGGGUGAAGUCGUAACAAGGUAGCC
rnacentral:rRNA from 1 species